UCAUCCGGACGGUCACCAAUAAUAAACGUGCUGGGCGCUACCUGUUCCAUCUCCGGGUCCACCCCCGCCGUCACCGCCUUGCUUCUCUUCCCGUGCCCGUUUCAUCUUUCUUCCGCUGAAGCCCGUUCGCACAAAUUCGGCAGCGGCAAAGCAGAAGGACGUUGCGGUCGGCAGUUGGAAGGUUCCCUUUUUCUCCGCGAUCAUGGCGAAGGCGGAGUUCUUGAACCGGGAGGAGGAGUUCCUCUCCUCUUCCAUCCUUGACCUGCACAAAAGUGAGGGAGUGAGGUCCCGGGGGCAGCUGAUUGAAAGGAAGAUUGAGAUCUUAGAAAACUUGGCAGGAAAGGAUUCGAACCUACGACCAGCCAGUUAACAGCUAUGUGCUCAGCACUGGACAUGUUCAAAUUAUUUCAACCAAUUCUCGCGUAACCUAUCCUCUGAAGGUUCUACAUCUGAUUUGUAAAGGGUAAUGAAUGUAUACAUCGUUGUAUUUUUAUCCUCUUUAGGAAGCCUAAUCUAUCUCAGUGUUCAUAUCUACAACGCCCAAAAUUUUCAUACGCUGUUUUCCUAUUAUACAACAUUCUGAUUGAUAAACUAUAUUGGGUGUCGUAAUCACAAUCCAAAGGAGCAUACGGUGACAUUUCUAGUCGCACUUUUUCAUUUUAACUCUACUGCUUUAAUUUUAUUCAUAUUUUCCUUGUCAAUCUCAUCCUCUUGUUGAGUUUUAUGUAAGAUGGGUCAGUUUAGAUUGAAUAGGGUUGAGUCAAGUUUACUUAUAUUAUUCAAAUCAACCAAUUCAAAUCUCCAAAUCAAGUUGGAAUCUGGUUUGAUAGGAGUUCAACUUGAGUUUAUCUGAGUCAAUUUGGUUCUAGUGUAGUUAAAUUUGAACUAUAAUGAGAAUGUGGUUUAAAUUGGGUGCUCUAUCUAUGUCCCUUUAUGGGAUUAGAGUAUAUCUGAAAUCCUAAAAUUUCCAAGAAUUAUCAACUCUAAUUUGUUAGAGCUCAUGCUUAGACUACUGAAUGACCUUUUGGAAGAUAAUUUGAUAAUGGAAAAAAUAG